AUCCAAUCCAUCUUCCCUGGCCUCCCCAACACACUCUUGAUACGAAAGAAACCUCCCGCCAUAGAGAAGAAAUCGAAAGUCUGGGUCCCCUCGAUCACCCUCUUUCUCCCUGUAGGUCGAGCUGAAUUACAUCCUCCCUCUCACCUGAACUGGUCGAGAGAGAUGAACCCGCACCACAUUUUUUCGAAUCGAAAGCCCCAACUAGAGAUGGAAUUCCAGAACCUAAACAACUCAGUUGAGAGCUCCGUGACUGGUUCAAGGGAAGGUCA
rnacentral:lncRNA from 1 species